GACGAACGCUGGCGGCGUGCUUAACACAUGCAAGUCGAACGGAAAGGCCCUGCUUUUGUGGGGUGCUCGAGUGGCGAACGGGUGAGUAACACGUGAGUAACCUGCCCUUGACUUUGGGAUAACUUCAGGAAACUGGGGCUAAUACCGGAUAGGAGCUCCUGCUGCAUGGUGGGGGUUGGAAAGUUUCGGCGGUUGGGGAUGGACUCGCGGCUUAUCAGCUUGUUGGUGGGGUAGUGGCUUACCAAGGCUUUGACGGGUAGCCGGCCUGAGAGGGUGACCGGGCACAUGGGGACUGAGAUACGGCGCAGUCUGCUACGUGAGGCAGCAGUGGGGAGUAUUGCACAAUGGGGGGAAGCCUGAUGCAGCAACGCCGCGUGCGUGAUGACGGCCUUCGGGUUGUAAACCGCUUUCGCCGGUGACGAAGCGUGAGUGACGGUAAUGGGUAAAGAAGCACCGGCUAACUACGUG
rnacentral:rRNA from 1 species